UCUUCCUGCAAAUGCCCAGAAGCAGCCGAGGUCCAAGGCAGAUGGACGUCCGGGCUCACCCAGUCAACCUGAAAAGACUAAGGGCCGGAACCAAGCCAACAGACUCUGGCCGAAAACCUGGAAGAACCUGGAGAACCCAGAUGAAAUCAUCAAGGUCAUUGCCCACUUGGAAACUAGGCCAGCCAGGGGCAGAAGGCCACGCCGGGGGAACAGAGCAGCCCGGGGCCUCAGGAGGCAAGCACUGUUCUCCACAAGCCCCACCUGCCCUGAUGGCACAUCCUUGAUUCCAAUCCAGAAGGACCCUGCAGAGAGAAGCCCAGAGAAGGCAGCCGGCCCACAGCCAUUGCUUAUCCCGGAGAAUCCCACUCCCUCCAAUAGGGGCCUGGCCACAAUCCCCCAAGCCACACCUACUCCGAGUGAA
rnacentral:lncRNA from 1 species